UACGAAGGGGGCUAGCGUUGCUCGGAAUCACUGGGCGUAAAGGGUGCGUAGGCGGGUCUUUUAAGUCAGGGGUGAAAUCCUGGAGCUCAACUCCAGAACUGCCUUUGAUACUGAGGAUCUUGAGUACGGGAGAGGUGAGUGGAACUGCGAGUGUAGAGGUGAAAUUCGUAGAUAUUCGCAAGAACACCAGUGGCGAAGGCGGCUCACUGGCCCGUAACUGACGCUGAGGCACGAAAGCGUGGGGAGCAAACAGGG
rnacentral:rRNA from 1 species